rnacentral:rRNA from 1 species
GACGAAUGCUGGCUGCGUGCUUAACACAUGCAAGUCGAACGGUGAACCAGGGCUUGCCCUGGGGAUCAGUGGCGAACGGGUGAGUAACACGUGGGCAACCUGCCCCUCACUCUGGGAUAAGCCCGGGAAACCGGGUCUAAUACCGGAUAUGACCUCGUGCGACAUCACAUGAGGUGGAAAGAACUUCGGUGAGGGAUGGGCCCGCGGCCUAUCAGCUAGUUGGUGGGGUAACGGCCCACCAAGGCGACGACGGGUAGCCGGCCUGAGAGGGCGACCGGCCACACUGGGACUGAGACACGGCCCAGACUCCUACGGGAGGCAGCAGUGGGGAAUAUUGCGCAAUGGGCGAAAGCCUGACGCAGCGACGCAGCGUGAGGGAUGACGGCCUUCGGGUUGUAAACCUCUUUCAGCGGGGACGAAGCGAAAGUGACGGUACCCGCAGAAGAAGCACCGGCUAACUACGUGCCAGCCGCCGCAGUAACAC